UGCGUAGACGGGCUAAUAAGUCAGUGGUGAAAUCUCUCGGCUCAACCGGGAAACUGCCAUUGAUACUGUUAGUCUUGAGUUCGGUUGAGGUAGGCGGAAUGUGUAAUGUAGCGGUGAAAUGCUUAGAUAUUACACAGAACACCAAUUGCGUAGGCAGCUUACUAGACCGACACUGACGCUGAGGCACGAAAGCGUGGGUAGCGAACAGGAUUAGAUACCCUGGUAGUCC
rnacentral:rRNA from 1 species